ACGGAGGCAGCAGUAGGGAAUAUUGCACAAUGGGGGAAACCCUGAUGCAGCGACGCCGCGUGAGUGAUGAAGUAUUUCGGUACGUAAAGCUCUAUCAGCAGGGAAGAUAAUGACGGUACCUGAAUAAGAAGCCCCGGCUAACUACGUGCCAGCAGCCGCGGUAAUACGUAGGGGGCAAGCGUUAUCCGGAUUUACUGGGUGUAAAGGGAGUGUAGGUGGUCUGGCAAGUCAGAUGUGAAAGCCCGCGGCUCAACUGCGGGACUGCAUUUGAAACUGUCAGACUGGAGUGCAGGAGAGGAAAGUGGAAUUCCUAGUGUAGCGGUGAAAUGCGUAGAUAUUAGGAAGAACACCAGUGGCGAAGGCGGCUUUCUGGACUGUAACUGACACUGAGGCUCGAAAGCGUGGGGAGCAAACAGGAUUAGAUACCCUGGUA
rnacentral:rRNA from 1 species